UACGUAGGUGGCAAGCGUUGUCCGGAUUUACUGGGCGUAAAGAGCGCGUAGGCGGUCGGAUCAGUCGAAUGUGAAAGCCCCCGGCUCAACUGGGGAGGGUCAUUCGAUACUGUCCGACUCGAAGGCAGGAGAGGGAAGCGGAAUUCCCGGUGUAGUGGUGAAAUGCGUAGAUAUCGGGAGGAACACCAGUGGCGAAGGCGGCUUUCUGGCCUGUUCUUGACGCUGAGGCGCGAAAGCUAGGGGAGCGAACGGG
rnacentral:rRNA from 1 species